AUGGUGGACAUCUCCCUGGACGAACUCAUCAGGAAACGCGGGGAGGUAGCGACAGGACAGCUUAAUGUCAGACCGGGAGUUGGAGGUGUCUGAUCUCCAGCUGGGAUUCAGCAAGGCCUUCUCAGCCAGUCAGCACGCACAGCCACCUUCCAGCAAAGAUUUGAUGCCCGGCAGAAGAUUGGCCUCGCAGAUGCCCGGCUCAAACUGGGAGUCAAGGAUGCCCAGGAGAAGCUUUUGCAAAAAGAUGCCCAGUUUCGGAUCAAAGGGAAAGUGCAGGAUACCAGAGCGAUGUUGAACUCUCGCAAGCAGCAGACCACCGUGCCCCAGAAGCCCCGCCAGGUCGCUGAUGCCCAGGAGAUCAGCUUGAAGAGGAGUUCACGUGCUGCCUUCAGGAACCCACCCAUUGGGAUAGUGACUCCUGCCCUGAAGCUCACCAAAACCAUCCAGGUUCCACAGCAGAAAUCCAUGGCACCACUUCAUCCGCAUCCUGCUGGAAUGAGAAUCAAUGUUGUCAAUAACCACCAGGCCAAACAGAAUUUCUAUGACCUGGAUGAAGAAGAUGUUGGUAUAGCUUCCAUUCCUGCUAAACAGAUGAAAUUUGCAGCCUCAGGCGGCUUUCUCCGCCAUGCGGCUGGGCUAAGCAGUUCCAAGCUCUCCAUGUCCAAGGCCUCCCUCUCACCAAAGUGGUUCAGAAUGAUGCAUACACAGCUCCUACUCUCCCCUCCUCUAUUCGAACAAAAGCCUUGACCAACAUGCCCCGGACACAGGUGAACAACGAAGAACACCCCCCCACCAAAGAGCUGCCACCUGCUGAGCCUGUCCUCAGCCCACUGGAAGGCACCAAGAUGACUGUGAAUAAUCUGCACCCUCAAGUCACUGAGGAGGACAUUGUUGAGCUUCUCUGUGUGUAUGGAGCCCUCAAGAGAGCUCGGCUGUUCCAUCCUGGGGUAGCGGAGGUGGUGUUUGUGAAAAAGGACGAUGCCAUCACUGCAUAUAAGAAGUACAACAACCGGUGUCUGGAUGGGUAGCUGAUGAAGUGCAACCUUCACAUGAAUGGGAACCUUGUCACCUCAGACCGGUCCAUCCUGCUGCGGCUAAGUUACAGCCCCUCGGUGAAAAAGGAGAGCAAGAUGCCUCGCAGGGUGAACUCUGCCUCCUCCUCCAACCCCCCUGCCGAAGUGGACCCUGAUACCAUCCUGAAGGCGCUCUUCAAAUCCUCAGGGGCCUCUGUGACCACGCAGCCCACAGAAUUCAAAAUCAAGCUUUGAGCAGGGGAGUGAGGCAGCCAGAAGUGGGGGCAGAGGAGGGUGGCUCUGUUUCCCCAAGACAAAGCUUGUGACCAAUAGGCCAUCCGACUGGAGAUCCCUGAGCGUGGGCAGGGUCGCCGGGGGUAAAGCGCUUCCUCACUGGAUGGAACCCGCCUUUCUGUGCUGUGUUCUGCCCUGUGCUCUUCUAUGUUAACGUUUCCUGUAGAAUGUUUCAUCUUCUCCAUCUCAUCGCCAAGGUAGGCUUGUGUUUUUCAGAGCAUGCCUCCCCCAGCCUCAGCCCCAGGCGGAUUUCUUAUCUGGAAAUGGUACACUAAAUUCUCUGGGUGGCUUUCUUGUGUCCCCAUAGGAUGCAGGGCAGGGGCUGUCUGAAGGACCCUAGUUUUUCCAGGCGCCGCGGGGCUGCCUUUCCUUUGUGUAUGUUCAGCUUUUCAAACAACGCAGGGGAUGCAAAGCCCUGCCGUCCUGACGGGAACCAGGUCGGCUUGAGGGCUGUGCCGCUGCUCUGCCUGGUCAGCGGAGGUGCCUAGGUGGGAGCAGGUCUCAGGCCUCUUGUCCUCUCCCCGGUGGCUCCAGGCCUCACGAGUGGCAAGGGCAGGAUGAAGCUCACUGCUGGGAAGAGUCUGUCCAAGCUCUUGGCUUGGAGGCCCAUGCUGCCUCCGCCCAGAGGAAGUUCUCCGAAGUUCACCUUUCCCUUGAGUUGCGCUGAAUGCCCCAGCCCAGGUCUCUUUCCCUUCUGGGCGUUAAUGCUGGGUGGGGAGCUGCGUUGUGAGCCCUCCCGGUUCUCACCUAGCCUGGCACUCAUCACACCCUGGUUUUGGUGCAGCUACCAGCUCUCCUCUGGUUAGGCCUUUCAAAGGCUCCACCUCCCAUUCUGCAACACAGUGGGUUUGGGGCAAA